CAAUCCCAAUAUCCUUCACGGUACGCGUUUUCGCUAGAUCCCUCCCCAUUUCUGUUUCAUAUUUAAUCUAAUCCCAAAAAUUUAAAAUAAACCCUAAUUUUUUCAACAGGGAUACCGUCCCGUUGAUUUUCCAAUUCGACGAAUAAGGGUAUCACAUCUCUUAAUCAAAACAUGUUUACCCGAAUUUUUGGUAAACCUAAACAGGAAGCCAAUACUCUAACCACUUUGGAUAAGUUAAAUGAGACACUUGAAAUGUUGGAGAAAAAGGAGAAAGUACUCCUAAAAAAGGCUGCUGCAGAAGUUGAAAAAGCCAAAGAAUUCACUAGGGCAAAGAAUAAAAGGGCGGCAAUACAAUGUUUGAAGAGGAAGAGGCUAUAUGAACAGCAUGUAGAGCAGCUUGGAAAUUUCCAGCUGCGUAUUCAUGACCAGAUGAUAAUGUUGGAAGGUGCCAAGGCAACCACAGAAACUGUUGAUGCAUUGAGAACUGGAGCAGCUGCUAUGAGGGCUAUGCAAAAAGCAACGAAUAUUGAUGAUGUUGACAAGACUAUGGAUGAGAUCAACGAACAGACAGAGAACAUGAGACAAAUCCAGGAAGCAUUGUCUACUCCAAUUGGUGCAGCCGCCGACUUUGAUGAGGAUGAAUUGGAAGCAGAACUUGAAGAGUUGGAGGGUGCUGAAUUGGAAGAACAGCUUCUUCAGCCUGCAACUACAGCUCCAGCUGCUCCAGUGCAUGUUCCCGCUGGGCGGCAACCCACUCACCCUGUGUCUUCGAAGCUCACUGCUGAGGAAGAUGAAUUGGCGGCUUUGCAGGCUGAGAUGGCACUUUGAGCAGGUCCAUUUUCUCAGCUGUGACACUAUUGAUUUAUGCUAUCUAUUCAUUAAUCUGUUCUAGUUUGUUGGUAUUGCAAUUAAGGUGGCAGUUGAGUGAAUGGUUUGUGUGUGCACCAGUUUCUUGUUAAAUAUCAACCUUUGCACACUGGCUUUGGUUAGGCCAGAAUUUUGCAGGCAUUGAUGUGCAUUAUAAGUGGCCUCUUUUAAAAUCAAGAGUGACACGGAGAAUUCUGCCCCCUCUCAUGCUUGCUUACCUAUGAAAUUAUUAAACAGACCAGAGGAUGUAUAUAAAUGUUAUAAAAAUUCAAUAGCCCUUCAAAAUUUAUACUUUCUCCUGGAAUGUUUGUUAGUUUAAAUGUUAUUCAGACUGAUCAGCGGAGAAUAACGAAUGAAAAAGAUUGAUCGAGAGGCAAUGCUUGAGUAAUAGAUUAUUUUAGUUUA